rnacentral:rRNA from 1 species
UACGUAGGGAGCAAGCGUUGUCCGGAAUCAUUGGGCGUAAAGCGCGCGUAGGCGGCCCGAUAAGUCCGUUGUGAAAGUCAAAGGCUCAACCUUUGAAUGCCGAUGGAUACUGUCGGGCUAGAGUCCGGAAGAGGCGAGUGGAAUUCCUGGUGUAGCGGUGGAAUGCGCAGAUAUCAGGAGGAACACCAGUGGCGAAGGCGACUACCUGGCCUGUUCUUGACGCUGAGGCGCGAAAGCUAGGGGAGCAAACGGG